rnacentral:lncRNA from 1 species
AGACUAUCCACAAGGGGGCUGCUGCAAUAUCUAGGUGAGAUAAUGGGGGCUGGACCAUGGUACUAGAGGGAAGUAAUGAGAUGGGUCUUAUUCUGGAUUUUGAAGGUUGAGUCACAAAGAACCAUUUAAGGUCAAAAAUGGAGAGUCACAGAAAGCGGGGGGAAUCAAGGAUGACUCCAAGGGUUUUGGCCUGAACUGGAAGAACUAAGGUACUCUUUAGGGUGGGGAAGACCACAAAAAGGUCAGACUUGGGGCUGCUGGUGAGACAAGGACUUUGCUUUGAAACACUGUUUUUAUCCAAAUGGAGAUGCUGAGCCGGAAGUCAAGUGUAUGAGUCUGCAGCUUAGGAGAAGGGUCUGGGGGAGUCGUUUGGGAAACAACAGAGAGGUGGGAUUUAAAGCUGUGAGCCUGGAGGAGAUCUCUGAGGCAGCACAUGCAGAGACGAAAGGACAGAGGACUGAGACCUGGGCCCCUCUGAUGAGGAGGAAUGAGUGAUGGAGGAAGCAGGUGAGGGCGGGGUCCUGCAAGCCAAGUGUGCCAAGUGCCGCAGGCUCUGUCCACAAUAAGUGUGGAACGAGGAGCUGGUGGAGGGGAGGACGACCCCUCUUGCUUUCCAGGGGCGUUCUCUGGCAAACAGUCUCUAUGGGAGCCAAUCUAAGGGAGUCGGACCUGCUGAGGCGGCCCUGCUCCUGUGAGCCAGAAGCUGUCUCCUUCCAGGAAGGUGGAACGGGUCUGCUCUGGAGGCGCGGCCUCUACUCUCCCAGCAUAAUUUCCCUCGGCUCUCAACUCCAGCUGGGCCUCUAAGACUCAGCUCAGUUACCUCCCUUCUGCCAGGUGGCUAUGCUGACCCCCCAAGACUGAGCUGGGUGCCCCUCCAACCAGCUCCCACAGGACCCACUGCUCCCUGCUGGAGAACUCCCCACACCAAGCCUGCUUACAUGUCUCAGCCUCCGAACAGGCUAGGCACACCCUGGGUUUCUGGGAAGCUUCCUUAUUUCUGCAUCCCCAAUGCCUAGUGUGGUGCAAGGCAUCUAAGAGACUCCCGUAAAUGCUUGUCAACAAACACUCAGAAGUCCAUUCUGCUGGUGUCUGGCCACGCCUGGCCCUCCUAUGCAGAAGCUCCAGCCCCUAGACUUCUUGGGAAACCUAAGGCGCUGGGGGAUGCCGUCCCACCCUUGGCAGCUCAGCAGGGACCCUCACAGCACUUGGCCUACUGACUCUCACUGACUGUGUGUUAGAUGCCAAGGAAAAGGUCACGGACGUGGGCCCAAGUCCGAGUCCUGGCAUUCUCAAGUAGUCAGGACUGCAGUCUCCCGUGUCUAAAAUGGAAAUGAUACACGCUUAUCCUUGAAGUCACUCCUCAUCAGUUGUGACAACAUUCGGGAAAGUGUUUGGCAAACUGUAAACCAGCCAGGCAAAUCGGAGGCACGUUGAGGCUUUUCCUUGGCAGCUGAUCCUGGGCACAUGACUGGGCCUGUAUGACCCAUCCCACGCCACGUGAGGCCUUCUCCUUGGUUCUUCUCAAGCCACUGAGGACAAGCAGCAUCUUCCUCAGACAACAGGAACUGGGGAAUAAGUGGGGUCUGGCCCAGCGGAAACUCUAACACACAUAUGGACGUGCACAGUGUUUCCAGUGACUAAGGGCCACACGAAGCAGUUGGCUGGACCCUUCCUGAAACUUGUCCCAGAAUGGGCUCAGCUGCGGAACUGCUCUGACCAGAGCUGCCCCGACUCUGGCCAUCCUUGGCCCCACUGUCCCGCUUUUCUGGGGGCGAGCCCUCUCCUCCCCUCAGGGCAGGGACCCAGGCUCCCCCUUUCCCUCGGCAGCAGGCGACACACAGGAGGUUCAGCAUGCAGGGUAGUUUAUUGAUAUUUGCUUCCCCAAAUAACCUUUUCUCACCAGUGAAGGUUGAAAGAAUGGGGGUGGGGAGGCAGGGAGGGCGUACAGAUGAAAGCCAAAAGGCUGGACACAAUGAUAAGUAAGAAAGUGUAACUCUGUGAGCUGACUCGACUUCUGAACAGACUUCUAAGACCAUCUCUGCUCACAGGGUGUGUGCUCCCCUUGGCUCUAAACCGUCACAGAAACAGAAGGAAGAGGAAGUGGUGGUCUGCCCAGAUGGGGCCUGGGGACUGUCAUGACUGUCCAGAUUGCUAUGGUCAGAGGGCAUCCCAGCCAGACCCUGAGCCCAGGGUGGAGCGAGGGAGCGGGACGCCAGGUCCCAGGAGGGCUGCCCGAGGCCCUCGCCCACCUGCCCGGCUCUGCAGGCUCCUCGUCUACCGCUUCUUCUUGGCCUCCUUCUUGGGCCUCUUGUUGGCGGAGGGAGCAGCAGCCUUGGGCUUCCUCGUCACCUCUGCACUUCUGGGCUCCAAUGGUUCUGCCUCCUGUGUGGUGAUAGAAAGAAGAGUCCUACUUAGACCAACUAAGCCAACCCUGGCAAAAUGAGAGCAUGUCGGACAGGACUUUGCACACUGAAGCAAGCCUCAGAAACACAAGGGAUGGAAACCACGAUUGCCAGGACCCAGAAUCCACACGUCUGCAGGACCACCCCUG